CCCCUGUUUUUCGAAAGCUUUGCGCCCUAUAUUGGGGACGCCGGUUCGCCGGCUAUGGAAAUAAACGGUCGUCGUAAUAAACCAUUCGGACCCGGGGGCGGUACCCGGCGCCUCCACCAAAGCCCACUUGAAAGCCCAUUUGGGCUUACCCCAGAAGUGGGCUUUGGCGGGGGCGAAAUAGGAUCGACGAGGGCGUAAAGGGCGUGCUUUUUCCCGGUAUUGUUCCGCCGUUAUCGGGCUACUGCAAUAGUUGCCAACGACAACUUUGCUCCGGUUGCUCAGGCUGCGUAACGCAGUUUGAAAGACCACUUUAAAGUCCUAGCGGGUUAAGCUCCGCUAGGCGGGGUUCGGAGGCACCUGGCAACAGAAGCCUCCACU
rnacentral:tmRNA from 1 species